rnacentral:rRNA from 1 species
AACGAACGCUGGCGGCAUGCCUAACACAUGCAAGUCGAACGAGACCUUCGGGUCUAGUGGCGCACGGGUGCGUAACGCGUGGGAACCUGCCCUUAGGUUCGGAAUAACUCCCCGAAAGGGGUGCUAAUACCGGAUAAUGUCUUCGGACCAAAGAUUUAUCGCCUUUGGAUGGGCCCGCGUUGGAUUAGCUAGUUGGUAGGGUAAAAGCCUACCAAGGCGACGAUCCAUAGCUGGUCUGAGAGGAUGAUCAGCCACACUGGGACUGAGACACGGCCCAGACUCCUGCGGGGGGAAGCAGGGGGGAAUAUUGGAAAAGGGGCGAAAGCCUGAUCCAGCAAUGCCGCGGGAGUGAUGAAGGCCUUAGGGUUGUAAAGCUCUUUUCCCCGGGAUGAAAAGGCAGGUCCCGGGAGAAGAGGCCCCGGCAACCUCCGU